UGAGGAAUACCGGCGAGAAAUCGCCGACAAGACCGCAUAGGCUGGCUUCCUUGGGAGGAGGUCAGCAAAGCUCUUCGCAAGAAGGGUGCUUGAGGAGGGGCCCGCGGCCGAUUAGCUAGUUGGAGAGGUAAGAGCUCACCAAGGCGACGAUCGGUAGCUGGUCUGAGAGGACGAGCAGCCACACUGGGAUUGAGAACGGCCCAG
rnacentral:rRNA from 1 species